AUAAAACGUUGUUGACUUGAGUUCACACCAGUCCAAAACUUCAAACUAACGCAGUUCAAGAUGUUGAAGGUUAUCUUCUUGUUUUGUUUCGUUUGUAUCGCGAUAUCUCUUCAGGCAGAUAUCAGGGACUACACCAAAGACAGUUUGUAUCCCUGCGUCCAGUGCCUGUGCCAUGC